UAUAAAAUGGCAUCAAUAUAAUGGCGGUUAUAUAAAACCGCCGUUAUUUUCAUAAAGUGAGGCGGUUUAUGCAGCUGCCAUAAUUUGUUUGUAGAAAGUGGUAUUUUUUUGGUGAUUUAGGCGGUUUUAAACGCCAUUACUUGCUCCUGCUUCACUGGUAAAAAGCCUAUUCUAUUUCACUAAUAAAGGCUAUGCUAUUCAAUCGAACCUCCAUCACAAUGUGAGAACCAAGAAGAAACUCCAUCGCAACAUGAGAUCUGCGAUCUCAUCCAUAAUGCUCUCCUCUGGCGGCAAUGUCGUUCUUGCUGCCUUCGAAGGAGCACUCUUCUUUGGUUAGGUUUUCUGGCUUCGAUUUGAGGGUUCGUUGUGCCACCGCUCAUCUCCUUGUCACCAGAAGCAACACCAUUAUUGCUGUCCUCGGUGGAGCUUCUGCUAUCUGGUUUUGUGCAUCUUAGUUGAUCUUAAAUUUUCUUAAUUCUAAUUUGGAUAAGCUUUUAUAGAGCCUUUAUUUUCUUUUUCCCCUUCAAUGGUGGUCCUGAUUGGUUGAAUCUGAGUUUUGUAAGGCUUUCGUCUUAAUAGCUCUCUAAGUAUAAUUCUCUUGGUUAAUUUUUUUUUCCUUCUAGGUAUAAUCUGAGAUCGCACAUCAGAGGGAGAGGGAAAGGAGAACGAGAGUGAGUUCAUCUCAAACCCUAGAGCUUGUCGCCGCCAUCGUCACCGCCAUUCAUCUCAUUUCAGCUGCUUCCAUCAACCUUCUGCGUUCGAGUGAAGGCGCCUCUAUCGACGCGUUUCCAAAUCUGGUCACUACGCCAUAGCUUAUGAGAUUGAGUGAAGCACCUAUUUCAUUAAUGUGUCUCCUCUGCCAACGGCGCCGGUACGUUCUCACUUCUGCAUUCUCUUCUUCUUCAAUCCACUCAACAUUGCUCGUAGUGUGUUUCUGUUCAUUCUCAAUUUCUAUUUGUAUUCUCUUUCUCUUCUUGUUCAUUCUCAGUUGCUUAUUUUCUAACUGUAUUUCAGUUCAGUAUUGUUAUGCUUGCCACGUGGUUGAUGAAUUUUCUGAGAGAGAUGAAAAAGAUUAGAACUUGUUUUCUGUUAUAGAUGAUGAUUCUUUGGUGCUUAUUAUUAUAACUACUGCAUGUUCAUCAUUGUGAAAUUUUGAAAUUUAAAACUAGCUUAGCUUCCAGAAAGGACAUGCUUUCUUUGUUUUCUUUAUAUAGAGUAAUGGUGAAAAGAAAAUUGUUCAUUAUGAGGGGAACAUAUAUUGAACUUAUAAGAGGUUCCUCUUCUAAUUGAUAAGCUAAUUGAUUCAAGUGUUUGUGUCUUCAAAAAUUAAUUUAUAAAAAAGGCUAUUUUGGUAUUUGUUAGUUCAAGCUAAGGACCAGCCUGUGUAAUAUUUUCAUGUUCUUGUUAUGCUUUGGCAUUUUUUGGAGUUGAUGAAAGUGCCAAGAGUGGAGGCAAAAUUAAGAGUGUUCUCUUUCAAGAUUCAGUUUGGGACUCAGGUUUGCUUAUUCUCAAGGUGUUUUGUCUUAAUUUGUUUUCAAUUUGGUUUUUCUUGUUUCACUUCACUUUAUUUUUUUUCCACUUGAUGCAUGCUGAAGACUUCAAGAGGAGUUUAAACACUGUGAACUCUGCCUGUGAAGAGGUACUUGAUAUUUAAUUGAAAUAAAAAGUCACACUUGACAAGAUUAAUUAAAAUAAAAAAACUAAAGCAUUCAUUCCCUACAACAUUUAGAAAAUGUUAAUCAAAUAUCACAAAAGGAAAUUGGAAAAAGUUAAUCCACGUACAACUGUGUGCAUUAGUUGACCAAUGCGCUAAAAUGGUCAUUCAUUCUUUAUUGGGGAAAAAGACAGGACUAAUGACGUAUAUAUAUUUGUACUUUGUACAUAACAGCACCUUAGAUUUGAUUAUUUUUUUUCAUGGAGCUAACUGUUUCUUUCUUUUAAAAUAAAAGAAGAUAUCUUAAAUGUAAAAUCCAAUUCAUUAAUUAGUAAUUACUUUAGAAUAUAUAGUCAUCAAUGAUGAUCAGUUUAUGAAAAUCUAUCUAAUGAAUUAUAUUAGAGAUAUAGCUAUUACAUAAUGUAUUAACUAGUGGCCUUCUUCUUGUCACUAUGUUGAUUAGAAACAUUAAGGUAUGUAUUUUACCUUGCGUAACAAAUUAGUUAUUUUUCUUUGAUAUUUAUACAAACUGAAUUAGUUAUUUAGGAUUAGGAGUUGAAUAAUGUAAAUUUAGAUAUAAUUCGUUUAGACAGUUUUUGUCUUGUGCACAAGUCAUUUUUGAGAUUAGAUAGUAGAUUCACAAACUAAUUUUCUUCUUAGAUACUAGAGAUAGAAAUGUCUUUGCUUAUAACAGUGAACUUCAUUAUUACUUUAUGAACCUGUGUUAUACCGAUCCAUGCUUAUAGGUGAAAUUUAGGACCAUUAUCUAAGUUUAUUAUGAAAACAUCAACAAAUAGAUGAAUUAAAAGGAUAAUGUGAAAAAUUGUAUCUAAUUAUAUAAAGUAGGUUUGGCAAGACCAAAAAAAGAAAUCAUUACUCAAAUUUCCUUUCUAAUGCUUUCUAAUGCUUUUUUUUCGCCUUCUGGCUUGCAGAUGUUACAGUUUUAGUGGUCCUGAUAUGCCAUGCAAACUAAAGAUCUAAUUUUUUGAGAAGAGGGUGUUUUGAAAGAGAGACACAAUUCAAGCUGUGACAAAUUUUGCCAAACGGAAUAAGUUGCCUGUUCUCAUGCAAGAACAGAUGAUUGCACAUUUGCAUAUGAAGUACAGAACUAAUAUAGAAGGGUUACAACAGCAAGAGAUUAUUGAAUUACUCCCGAAAGCUAUUCGUUCAGAAAUGAUAUAGAAGGGUUGCAUAUGAAGUACAGAAUUGAUAUAGAUAUAGUGGUAUUAUUAUUGUGUCUAAUAAUGUUGUUGCAUGAUGCACAAAUUUUAAUGCAGAUGUAUCAGACAGUGAAAAUUAUAGAUAGAGCGGCGGCUUCUUCAAGUUAGUGCAUAGUUUUUAAUUAAUUUACAUUUAAAGACAUAAUGUUUUACAUAAACUCACCAUCAACACGGAGGUCUUAUCUAUCCGUUAACAAUUAGGCCAUUAGCAUAUAUAAAACAUUUAGAAUUUGAGUUCUUUUAUAGGAUACCAAUAUCUUUUUGAAUUAAUAACUACAAUUGAAUCAUAUUUUUUUCAGAUAUCAAUUAUUAAGGACAAAUAAUGAAUUAAUACCACUAAUAUUCUGAAUUGUUAUACAAAAAUACUGAGUUCACGUAUAAGACUAGUCACUAUGGAUUUAUAUGUGAUAAAAAGAUGAGUGGGGAUAUAUGCAGUGUGUAUUAAAUUGUUGGGUUGAUCAUAUGAGAACAAAGAUUGUAUGCUAAUUAAUCCUCUUUAGUUUUCUCAAAGAAAGUAGGAUUUAAACAAAAAUUAAUUCUACAUUUACAGGUACUUGGCAACAUGUAUCAAAGCAAAUUAUUAGAAGUGAUUAGGUGAGCCAUAUAACUCAUGUUUUUGAGAGGCAAGCUGAUGGAAGUGUGCCUGGAAAUAUGGAUAUAUGCAUUUUUUCUUUUCCCAUUUUCCCUUUUUAUAUUGUCAACUGUUAGAUUUUAUAUAUGGAUAUAUGCAUAAUCAUAUUGCUCCUGCAGAUCAAAUCCUUUGAUUUCUUUCACUGGCCACUAUGCUAUAUACAUGGAUAUAUAAACAAGAUUACUGUUUGGCUGUUCUUAAUUCUCAUUUUUUGUUUAAAUUUAUUUUGUAAUGUCCAAGUUAAUGGUUUAUUUAUUUAUUUACUUUUUAUUUUGUUUUUAAAUUAUAUUUUUGUUGUAGGAAUUGGAUCAAGAGAGUGAGAUUCCAUCGCCAAAAGAGUUAGAAAGUAGAUCUUUUGAAGCGAAUAAUAGAGAAUGGUGAUUUUUUUUAUGAUAGAGACUUGAUGUAUUUAGAGUUACAUAUUAAGACUUUUAAUACUUUAUUUGUAUAGGAGUUAUUAUUUUUUAUUUCCAAUACUAAAAAAUUAUAUAUUAUGUUUAAUAUUUUAUUUAUGAGUUAUGUAAUAUUUUGUUGAUGAGU